AGCUCAGGGCCCUCCGAACAAAGAAGCGCUCCGUGCCGGACCUGCAACUCUCCCCACCCGGCAGCAGCGCCCUCAGCACGCCCGGGAACCCCCGAUCCUUCUGAGCUUGGGGUACUGCGCCCGGGUCUCCACCGCCGGGGAAGCCCCGAGCGCAGCAGCGCAGAGUCCUGGGGUCACCAGAGUUCGUCCUAGGACAUCCUCUCCCCAUUUACGCCGCCCCCGGUCCCAUUUGUGUUGCAAGUGGUGGGGAUGUGAGGCUCCGGAUCAAAGUCCCCGAAACCGAGCGCUUCCCGAAGCCUCGUUGGCCUCGAAACAAAACAGUAACGCCCAAGCGACCUACUGCCUUCGAGAUUCCCAGCCUGAGCUCCCCAGGUCCCUCAGAGGACCCGAGAGGAACAUCUUACUGCUUCUAUUCAUAAACUGAGAGGAAGGAGUCCACAAA
rnacentral:antisense_RNA from 1 species